UCCAGACUCCUACGGGAGGCAGCAGUCGGGAAUAUUGCGCAAUGGAGGAAACUCUGACGCAGUGACGCCGCGUAUAGGAAGAAGUUUUUCGGAAUGUAAACUAUUGUCGUUAGGGAAGAGAAAGGACAGCGCCUAAGGAGGAAGCUCCGGCUAACUACGUGCCAGCAGCCGCGGUAAUACGUAGGGAGCGAGCGUUAUCCGGAAUUAUUGGGUGUAAAGGGUGCGUAGACGGGAAAACAAGUUAGUUGUGAAAUCCCUCGGCUUAACUGAGGAACUGCAACUAAAACUAUUUUUCUUGAGUGCAGGAGAGGUAAGUGGAAUUCCUAGUGUAGCGGUGAAAUGCGUAGAUAUUAGGAGGAACACCAGUGGCGAAGGCGACUUUCUGGACUGUACCUGACGCUGAGGCGCGAAAGCGUGGGUAGCGAACGGGAUUAGAUACCCCAGUA
rnacentral:rRNA from 1 species